UACAGAGGUCUCAAGCGUUGUUCGGAUUCAUUGGGCGUAAAGGGUGCGUAGGCGGCGCGGUAAGUCGGAUGUGAAAUCUCGGAGCUUAACUCCGAAACUGCAUUCGAUACUGCCGUGCUUGAGGACUGGAGAGGAGACUGGAAUUUACGGUGUAGCGGUGAAAUGCGUAGAUAUCGUAAGGAACACCAGUGGCGAAGGCGGCUCACUGGACUGGUAUUGACGCUGAGGUGCGAAAGCGUGGGGAGCAAACAGG
rnacentral:rRNA from 1 species